AUGUAGUGUAAUGCCUACAACAUUAAUGCAUCGGAUCCCAUUAGAACUUCAUAGUUAAGCAUGCUUGGGAUAGAGUAGUAUUGGGAUGGGUGACCUCCUAGGAAGUCCUAGUAUUUUACAUG
rfam:Picea glauca, whole genome shotgun sequence.